AUACUUUUUGUUUCCCUAUUGCUUAUUGUAGUAGCUAGUGAAAGAGAAUGUGUUACCGACGACGAUUGCGAAAAACUAUAUCCGACAAAUGAAUAUCGUAUGAUGUGCGACAGUGGUUAUUGUAUGAACUUAUUAAACGAACCUCCUUGCAACAUUUAGUUCUAAGGUGUUUGUUCAUGAGAGUAAAGUGGAGAAUUCUUCUCACACGAACGUUAUGUUGUUCUUGAAUGUUUGUUGGAUUGUUAUUUAUGUUUAAAAUGGAUUGUAGGUUGUGAUAUUAUGAUAUCAACGCCGACGUUAAUAAUCUAGUAUUUACUUACUUUAUUAUAAGAAAAUUGUAAGACUCUAAGAACCAAAAUAUUUUAUUUCGAGUCAUCAUAUUGAGUUGUUAUUUGUGGUAAUGUUGUGAUAUUUUAUCCAACAUGAAAAAUUAUUUAUGGUGCAAACAAAUAUUAUUUA